ACUUAUAAUAUUAACAGCCUAACUUCCUUUCCAGCAAUUCACACAUAUAGUCUUAUUAAGAGGGUAACAUACAUUGGUUUUAGUAUUAUAUGAUGUAUAGACACGUUACACUGUAACAGUGAUAGAUAAAUAAAUAACCUCUUUACACUCACUUGUUUUCAUUAGGAAUUUCAAUGUACAGCAAAUGGUGCUGCAGGUGUGGCAUGAUAUAUCGAUACCAGGAGUGGUCUGACGGUGUCCACAAUUUUGACGACCACACGCUUCUGUCAAUAUACAUGUGCCAUUUCCUACGCAACACUCUCCAGACUCAGGCUGUGGGUAGUGCCGUUGAAGUGUUGGAGAAGACCUCUGGUAAAACCUAUCCUUCCAAGCAAAGGGUCCUGCAGGCUUACUUAAGCUUUGAAGCACUGUCAGACCACCGUUACACAUAUGCGUGUGUAUCAUGUGGUUAUCGUCCAGUAUCCGUUGUGAUGGACCUUCAUAAGAAGGGUGUUUUCAGUAUGCCUGUGAGUGGCAUAGAGGAGCCACCACAGGACUUUGAUGGAAAAGUGAAUGUUGAAGAUUUUUGGGAGAUGGUUUCUCUGGAAAUGAUCAGCCGUGGGUUGGUUCCAAGCAAUAGGUCAAAUCCAUUCGUGGUCCAUCCCAGUUACCAUAAUUGGGCCCAUGGAUUGGUCCGCACACACGAGGAGCAGAUCUCGUACUCAACACUGAGUACAAAAAAGUGCAUUCUAGUGCAAAGAAAGAAUCCGAGUUUAACCUCACAGAGGACCGGCUGACUGACGAACUUCUUAAGCUCAAGAUGGAAGUUGUCCGUUCUCUGUGCAAGCAGUGUGGCGUAGACCCCAAGGGCUCACGGAUGGACCUGGUAGGAAGACUGCAACAAGAAAUGAAGAACAGAGCAAGCUAUGACAAGGUGUUUUCACAGAUCUGGGGAGCUUCUGGUGGAUGGGCUGUGGUCACCUGUCCUUGUGCUGUGGUGUAUGGUGUUAAGUUUAACAUAAGGGCUGAGAGCCCACGGGACUUUGCUGACCUUUUGCUGUCAAUGAAACAUUUUCCAAAUGUUACAUUGUAUGAUUUCGCUAGAAGUUUGGCAGCACAUGCCAAUCUACAAGAAACGGAAUCAUUGCCCUUCAGUCCUCAUGGCGGGAGGCUACUUGAGCCUCUUGAAGAGAACAUCAGACUUGCCACUUCUGGGCAGAUAAAAGUGAACUUGCCGUGGCUAACCACCAAGAAGACAGUACCUGAUGAAAAUGGCCACCCUCUGACUGGAUCAUCUGAACAUCAUGCUCUCUAUGACAGAUUUCAUGAGGCUAACUCUAAAGAUGUCAGGGACGUCUUGCGAAAGGUGGACCUGGUCCCUGAGUUAUGUGGUGGGCUCAACAGCCAGUGUGUUGAACAGCUCUUCUCUGGAAUGAGGAAAAACAAUCAUUUUCUCAACAUGAUGACUCCCUAAUCGCAUAUCUUUUUGAUGUGAUACAUUUUGCAUCACUACAACAAUGAGAGGAAUUUAAAAACCAUAGAAAACAUGAAGAAAAGACUGGGCAAGGGACUGGACAUAAGCACCAGCUGAAGCUCCAGCCAAAAGAGCAACAGAGGUUGAAGCCCCACCCACAAGAACAAUGGAAGCAGCAGCAGAAACUCUGCCAUCCUCUGGUCUGACCACAGUGUGCUGUUUUUGAGAUCUACCAGCGUGCAGUGAUGACUGUUGGGGACUACUACAUCUGGACCACAUAAUUGCCAGAUCGGAGACCACGGACUCAGAGGUGCAUGUUUUACAGGGGCAUAGUUUUAUGCAUAUAUUUGUUUUUGUUUAUUUAUUUAUUUAUUGCUUGCUGCAAGGUCUCUGUUAGUAAUAAACUGUCUGGGUAGUAACGUUGUUGGUCCUAAUUUGUUGGCACCUGUGUGUAUGAGAUCAUUGAUCUUUAAAAGUGCUCUAUGUGGAAUAUUGUGGACCAUCUUGAAAAUGUCCAGAUCUCCCUUUCUUGUGCAGCUUGAUAAUGUGCUGGAUCCCACAAAAUCAGCUACUGAGUUGUUGGGAGAAGUGGGCACCACUGUUUUAUCGAGAUGGGACUUCCAAACCUUGGGUUUAAAGCAGCAGUUGGAAGCAACAGUUAGUACAGAUAGUACAGAUGUGACAAUCCUGUUUUUAAAUGGACUUUUAGAACUUUAAAUUUUUAUAACUUUACAGCUCGCUUUCUCUCUGGUCUUACAGAUUGCCAACUGUUGCUUUGAGAUGAUCUGCAAACUUGCCAGGGAGAAGGUCUGUGAGGAGAUACUUGGUAGCAUUACACACAAUAAAAUCCUUAAAUGUUUGUAUCAGUAAUUUUAAGCUUUGUGUUUUGAAAUGACUAAAGUUUGUCUUAUCAGGGAAAGGAUGUCCAUGCAGUAGACGCUGAUGUUGUUUUUUUUACUAUCACCCUGUUAUUCAUGUUCAUGAGUAAUAAUGUCAUUUGUGUUAUUACUUUUAAAAUGAUCUUUUUUUUUGUUUUGCCUUUUUUAUUUCUGAUGGAUAUCUAGGGUCAGCUGCAAUUUCUCUGAUGUUUUAUUUUAGUAAACAGUUGAUUGAUGUCCUGGCUCUAUUCAUAAUAAUGAGGUGACUAAGAAAUAGUGUUGUCUCGUGUUGCAGCACCCUGUAUUGGCAUAUGCCAAAUAUGCAUGCAGCUAGCGUAUCUUUGAUUAUUGUGUAACAGACGUGUACAAUACCAGAAGUAUGGUGUCCCUGGGAAAUGUAGAUGGUACAUUGUAUUUACCAUUGUAUUUAUCUCAAUUAACAUCUAUAGGCUGAUGCAGCAUCCAAAGCCUGUCUCCUUUUCCCUGUGUGGAAACCUGGACACUGGUUCCUCUGCGUAAGUCAUUCAAUACAGUUGUCAUUUCACUCAGUUUUUGCUAUUGGAACAUAAGUUAUUUUUUGGAAAAUUAUUUAUUUUUAAAUGAUUCCCCUCAUGUAGCAUCUGGCGUCUAGCCAAAUAUUUUUUUAAAUAGUAUUUGUUCUCUGAUUGGAAAGAACAGGAGUUUAUGUGAAUAAUGUCUUUUUAAUUCAUGUGUUAUUGUUAGUGAUACAGUUCUAGGUCAAAAUUAUAUGAAAGAAUUCAAACAAAGUAACAAAAGGUAAUGCAGGAUGUUACAGAGAUGGCAUGUGAACUCUUGAUUCAACAGUCUGAAUGAACCACAAAGCUCUGUUCCACCCAAACAUGUACGUUUCUGGCCAGAGCUGUUAAUUGAUUCCCCCAUAUGUAAGUAUGGUGUCUGCUGUUAGUGUUGAAUUCCCAGGUCCACCCUAUCACCAUGGAUUCUGUCACCAGGUUGUGUCCAACAUGUAAAGUGAGCUGUUUGUGAGUGAAAAGCAAAGAUUGACAUAUGUUGCCAUCAUAACUUGUGUACUUCAGGUCCUGAUGCCAAAAUAUUGCAGGAUUUCUCAGCUGGACUCAGCUGACCCUAGUGGUUUUGGGGACAAAAAAUAUUUGACCAUUUUCAGGUUUAAUUUUAACACUCAUAAUAGAAACUGUUCAGCGUUCCUUAUGGAUUCAUUGUUCCUUAUAACUUUCAGAGUUCUGAAAGUCAAAUGUUAUUUGUGAUGUUCCACAUGUUCUUUUAUUCUGCAUGUUCUGCAAGUCAUAGACAGCUGCCCUUCGAAGUGUUACCAGUACAAAUAAUGUUGGCCAAAUAGGCCAUUUUUAUUUGGCCUUCAAGUAAAUCUUAGGCUGUUGUCUAUGGCUUCGGGGAUGGGUGGUGGUUUUGUUAUACUGAUGUUCAGUCUGAGUUCUGUGCCAUAGCACUCUGUCUGGAUUGCCCUCCAAUAUGAUAAAAAAGAGCUGAAUAUUUUAUCUUUUGCAGCUCAGUUGCAACACGUCUGGUCCCUGGGCACUGGAAGCUCAUCAAAAACAAGGAUAUUCCAGCCCAGUUGGAGGUUGAUGACUGUGGUGUUUUCAUGCUGUUGCAUGACAUCCCACGGCUUCGUAGAUGGUGGUGUCAGUUGCUUUUGGAAAACAUGUCACCUCCAAGAAUGGUGAGCUGCUAUGUGCCAGGAGAGGACAGACAGCGUAAUGAGGGCAAGAUUGAGGAACCUGCAAGGAAAAUUCAACGCGUUGAAUCCGUGGAUGGUGAAGGAGGGCGAAUGGAUACCAUUUCCAUUGUCCAGAUGCCUCUCAUCAUCCUGGAGGACAGACUCUUAGACGUAGUCCUGGAAGAGGGUGACAAAGCUUUUCUGAAGCUGUCAC